rnacentral:rRNA from 1 species
CCUACGGGAGGCUGCAGUGAGGAAUAUUGGUCAAUGGUCGGGAGACUGAACCAGCCAAGCCGCGUGAGGGAGGAAGGUACAGAGUAUCGUAAACCUCUUUUGUCAGGGAACAAAGGCGGGGACGUGUCCCCGGAUGAGUGUACCUGAAGAAAAAGCAUCGGCUAACUCCGUGCCAGCAGCCGCGGUAAUACGGAGGAUGCGAGCGUUAUCCGGUUUUAUUGGGUUAAAAGGGUGCGCAGGCGGUCUGUUAAGUCAGCGGUCAAACCCCGGGGCUCAACCCCGGCCCGCCGUUGAAACUGGCAGUCUCGAGUUGGAGAGAAGUAUGCGGAAUGCGCGGUGUAGCGGUGAAAUGCAUAGAUAUCGCGCAGAACUCCGAUUGCGAAGGCAGCAUGCCGGCUCCACACUGACGCUGAGGCACGAAAGCGUGGGUAUCGAACAGGAUUAGAUACCCUUGUAGUC